rnacentral:lncRNA from 1 species
UCCUGCUACUGCAGGCCUCUCCUCCGAGAACAGAGGCCAGGUCAUGACUCACUGGCUUCCUGCAACCUGACGAUGGCCCAGCCAGAAGACAAGGCACCUGAAGUCCCCACAGAGGGGGUGAGGUGAACAAAGCAGACAGGACCCCUCUAGGGGUCCUCAGCACCCUAGAGCCACUUACUCGCCUGCAGAGGACAUGGGGGGUGUGGCAUGUGCCAGAGCUGGAUACCCAGGAUGCGGAGGCCCUUGUGGGGCUGUGGCCACUAGGGAGUUUCUUGGUCACAGGACGUGACCCCAGCCAGGCCCUGGUGUUGAGGUCAGGACCUUUACCAGGAGAAGUCAAUACCUACCAGAUCCAGAAGAUUCCCAGAGGUAAGGCACCUCCCCUGAGGUUCCAGCCCACAGUCAAUUGAUCACUAAGAACUAUCAGCUGGACCGGCGCGGUGGCUCACGCCUGUAAUCCCAGCACUUUGGUAGGUCGAGGCGGGUGGAUCGCUUGAGGCCAGG